rnacentral:lncRNA from 12 species
GAAUCCCAAGCGUACUCUGCACUGAGCACGGAGUCCUACCUGAAACUCGACCUCACAACGCUGAGGUCACCACCUUAGCCAAAAUCAAGAGUCUGUUGCUUAACCAACUGAGCCACCCAGGUGCCCCUUGAGUUUCACUGUUACUUCAUUCUGUUCUACCAUGCCUUUCCCUGUUAGUGUUGCUCAACCUUUUAUUACAAUGUGCUCUUUCGUUGGAUAAGCUUAUGCAUCCUCAGGACUUCAAUUGUCCUCUGUAGAGCUCUUGAUGUCUUUUCAGAGUUCAUGCAUGUAUACUCACCUACAUAAUUGAAGUAUUACCCAUAAAUUCCAAAAUAAUCUCAAAACCAAUAUGUCCAAAAUUAAGCUUCUCAUCUUCUAGUAGUUUUUAUCAGUGAAUGGCUCUUCCAUCCAUUCAGCUGCAAAGAUCAGAAAUUUGGGAGUCAUUCUUUAAUGUUUUUUUUUUUAAGAUUUUUUGGGUUUAUUCAUGAAAGACGGAGAGAGAGAGAGAAAGGGAGAGAGGCAGAGACAUAGGCAGAGGGAGAAGCAGGCUCCCUGUGGGGAGUCUGAUGUGGGACUCGAUCCUGGGACUCCAGGAUCACGCCCUGGGCUGAAGGCAAGUGCUCAACUGCUGAGCCAUCCAGGCGUCCCUUGGGAAUCAUUCUUGAUGGCCCCUUGGCAUUAUCUGUGAUAUGAAAUCAGGAAGGCCUUAUAAAAUUUUAUUCUCCCCAAAAGAGGGUGUAAUUAAAAGUAAUUAUAAAAAGGUAAAUAAAAAUAAGUGUAGAAACAUAAACUGUUGCUGGGAAAACCAUUGUGAAAGUUGGUGUAUAAGAUUGUCCUUGGUCUUUAUUCAAUUCUUUCAUACAGACCUAUUUGGAAUGGAGGAUUGACAGUUAAACAUCUGUUGGUCUCUAAAAGGGAAUAUCUCCCCAACUAUCUUUGGAGUUUCUCUGGAGAAAUAACAGGACUUAUGGGGAUGAGCCUUUGAAAAGAGAUGCUGUUUCUCCUAAAGUCAACGGACAGGUCUGCUUUGAAUCAUCAAUUACUGUCAAAAAUAGAUUUGGACAUUAGUGUUCAAAAUGCUCUACUCACUUCAGCCUUUUCCUCAACCAGGUUUAUUUCCUCAAGAGGCAGCAAGUCCUCUGUCCCAGAGAUUCCAAUAAGGGGUUGCAGGUCACUUAACCAGCAGUGUUCUUUAAUGUCUUCUAGCAUGGAGGAUGGAUGAAGACAAGCUUGUGUGUCAACUAUAGUUCAAUAAAAAAUAAAAAUAAAUAAAAAUCA